AUCAUGUUCCAGCAUAUGUGAGUAUUCAAUCAAAGAAGUUAGGUUGUUCUCCAGAAUCGGCUCUCUCCUAAAGGUCAAAAC
rnacentral:lncRNA from 1 species